rnacentral:rRNA from 1 species
UACGUAGGGGCCGAGCGUUGUCCGGAGUUACUGGGCGUAAAGCGUGCGUAGACGGUUAUUUAAGUCGGGUGUGAAAGCCCCGGGCUCAACCUGGGAAUUGCAUUCGAGACUGAAUAGCUAGGGUACGGUAGAGGGAAGCGGAAUUUCCGGUGUAGCGGUGAAAUGCGUAGAUAUCGGAAGGAACAUCAGUGGCGAAAGCGGCUUCCUGGACCAGUACCGACGUUCAGGCACGAAAGCGUGGGGAGCAAACAGG